UGUACCUGAGGGGUGAGUGGGCCUGGGCCUGGUCCCUGAGCAUGGCUGAUGGUUACUACACAGGCAUUGCUUCUUAGGGCAGCCGGGCUCAGGGAAGUUCAUAUUGUCUUUGGAGCCUUGAAGACCUGAAUCUAAUCUGGGCGUCAGUGCUUACCCACUGAACCACUGUAAGGCCACCGCUAAUGCCCCAGACUUCCAUUUCUCUCUGCUGGAAUGUCAUGACACCCUGAGGCUCACACAGAUGACAUGAUGCUUAGUAACUACCCACUAUUAGUGACCAAUUUGUCCCCAAGAUGGAAGGGGUGCCAUGGGUGGGCCAGGUACACAGUGGACAUUGAUAACACUGACCACAGCCAGGAGUCAUGGCCCCUUCUGGGGGAGAGACUGUCACCUGGCCCUCUUUUAGUAUGAGUCUGGAGCAAAAGAGUAACUUUAAGAGUCAAACCUCUCCUGGGGAUUCUCUGCUUAGCUAUGAAUCAGAAUUGCCUGGGUAUUUUUAAAAAUACUGCAGCUCAGCAGGGUGAUGUGGUGCACACCUGUAAUCCCAGCAGCUCAGGAGGCUGAGGCAGGAGGAUGGAACAUUCAAAGCCAGCCUCAGCAACUCAGUGAGAACCCAUCUCUAUAUAAGAUAUAAAAAAGGGCUGGAGAUGUGGCUCAGUGGUUAAGUGGCCCUGGGUUCAAUCCCCAGAACCAAAAAAAAA
rnacentral:lncRNA from 1 species